rnacentral:tRNA from 1 species
GCCGACGUGGCUCAGCGGCUACAGCAGCAGUUUUGUAAACUGCCAAUCGUGGGUUCGAGUCCCACCGUCGGCUCCA